UACGUAGGGUGCAAGCGUUAAUCGGAAUUACUGGGCGUAAAGCGUGCGCAGGCGGCUAUGCAAGACAGAUGUGAAAUCCCCGGGCUCAACCUAGGAACUGCAUUUGUGACUGCAUGGCUAGAGUACGGUAGAGGGGGAUGGAAUUCCGCGUGUAGCAGUGAAAUGCGUAGAUAUGCGGAGGAACACCGAUGGCGAAGGCAAUCCCCUGGACCUGUACUGACGCUCAUGCACGAAAGCGUGGGGAGCAAACAGG
rnacentral:rRNA from 1 species